GACGAACGCUGGCGGCGUGCUUAACACAUGCAAGUCGAACGGAAAGGCCUCUUUCGGGGGGUACUCGAGUGGCGAACGGGUGAGUAACACGUGAGUAACCUGCCCUUGACUUUGGGAUAACUUCAGGAAACUGGGGCUAAUACCGGAUAGGAGCUCCUGCUGCAUGGUGGGUGUUGGAAAGUUUCGGCGGUUGGGGAUGGACUCGCGGCUUAUCAGCUUGUUGGUGGGGUAGUGGCUUACCAAGGCUUUGACGGGUAGCCGGCCUGAGAGGGUGACCGGCCACAUUGGGACUGAGAUACGGCCCAGACUCCUACGGGAGGCAGCAGUGGGGAAUAUUGCACAAUGGGUGGAAGCCUGAUGCAGCAACGCCGUGUGCGGGAUGACGGCCUUCGGGUUGUAAACCGCUUUCGCUCAUGACGAAGCUUUGUGUGACGGUAGUGGGUAAAGAAGCACCGGCUAACUACGUG
rnacentral:rRNA from 1 species